AGCAAUAAUAGCUUAAAUUAAAGCAUUGGUCUUGUAAACCAAAGAUAAAUUAUUAUAUUUUUGUUGCUU
rnacentral:tRNA from 1 species